rnacentral:rRNA from 1 species
CACGUAGGGCGCAAGCGUUGUCCGGAAUCAUUGGGCGUAAAGAGCGUGUAGGCGGCCCGGUAAGUCCGCUGUAAAAGUCAAAGGCUCAACCUUUGAAUGUCAGUGGAUACUGCCGGGCUAGAGUCCGGAAGAGGCGAGUGGAACUCCUGGUGUAGCGGUGGAAUGCGCAGAUAUCAGGAAGAACACCAACGGCGAAGGCAGCUCGCUGGGACGGUACUGACGCUGAGGAGCGAAAGCGUGGGGAGCGAACAGG